rnacentral:rRNA from 1 species
CAGUAGCCGCGGUAAUACGAAGGGGGCUAGCGUUGUUCGGAAUUACUGGGCGUAAAGCGCACGUAGGCGGAUACUUAAGUCAGGGGUGAAAUCCCGGGGCUCAACCCCGGAACUGCCUUUGAUACUGGGUAUCUCGAGUCCGGAAGAGGUGAGUGGAAUUCCGAGUGUAGAGGUGAAAUUCGUAGAUAUUCGGAGGAACACCAGUGGCGAAGGCGGCUCACUGGUCCGGUACUGACGCUGAGGUGCGAAAGCGUGGGGAGCAAACAGGAUUAGAUACCCCCGUAGUCCCUGUCUCUUAUAC